rnacentral:rRNA from 1 species
GAUAUGUGAAUACAUAGCAUAUCAGAAGGCACACCCGGAGAACUGAAACAUCUUAGUACCCGGAGGAAGAGAAAGAAAAUUCGAUUCCCUUAGUAGCGGCGAGCGAAACGGGAAGAGCCCAAACCAAAAAGCUUGCUUGUUGGGGUUGUAGGACACUCUAUACGGAGUUACAAAGGACGACAUUAGACGAAUCAUCUGGAAAGAUGAAUCAAAGAAGG